CGGGCGAGGCGGAAGUCGUUCGGCCGAGGCCAGGGCGGAGUCCGAGCCCUGGGGUCGGGCGAAGCGGAGUUUCGUCGUCUUCCGGGUGUUAGCCCGAGUCCGAGCCCUGGGGUCGGGCGAAGCGGAGUUUCGUCGUCUUCCGGGUCUUAGCCCGAGUCCGAGCCCUGGGGUCGGGCGGAGCGGAGUUCGCCGUCUUCCGGGUCUUAGCCCGAGUCCGAGCCCUGGGGUCGGGCGGAGCGGAGUUCGCCGUCUUCCGGGUCUUAGCCCGAGUCCGAGCCCUGGGGUCGGGCGGAGCGGAGUUCGCCGUCUUCCGGGUCUUAGCCCGAGUCCGAGCCCUGGGGUCGGGCGGAGCGGAGUUCGCCGUCUUCCGGGUCUUAGCCCGAGUCCGAGCCCUGGGGUCGGGCGGAGCGGAGUUCGCCGUGGCGCCUUUGGCAAGGCCUGACUGCCUGUCAGACUCACUCUGUCGAGUGGCACUACAGUCGGAGUGGCGCAGGCGGCGCUGUCCUUCUGUCAGACUGGCCAGUGGAGCGGUGGAGUGACGGCGGUCACUUCGGCUCUGCCGGGGGCGCGUGUCAGGAUAGAGGUGUCAGGCCACCUUUGCGUUAAAUGCCCCUGCAAUUUGGUCAGUCGGUGUGGCGAUUUAGUCAAGGUUGCUUCUGAGCGAAGCCAAGGCCUCGGGCGAGCCGGUGAUGUGUCCGCCAUAAAAAGGGGGCCUCGGGCGAGACGGAAGUCUCUCGAGGUCGGCUGCCCUUGGCCGAGGCUAGGCUCGGGUGAAGCGUGAUCGAGUCACUCGUGUGGACUGAUCCCUGACUUAAUCGUACCCAUCAGGCCUUUGCAGCUUUAUGCUGAUGGGGGUUACCAGCUGAGAAUUAGGCGUCUUGAGGGUACCCCUAAUUAUGGUCCCCGACACACACAUAUAUAUAUAUAUAUAUAGCCCUGGGCUUUCAAAUGUUAGAGCAAGUUCUAGCCGACCACUCCCGAUCUGACUGGACCGCACCAGCGCGCUCACCCACUCCACCCCAGGAUGUCAGGUGGGUCCCUAGCCAUGCACCAGGUCAACCUCCCCAAGUGCGUCAGUCAAACUUCCAGUCCAACAACUAACCUCCCACGUGAGACGCAAGCCAUAAAUUGUGGUUCUAUUUUUUUUGCGUAAAUAGAGUAUACAGUCUAUGGAAAUAGCGUAAAUAGUCCACAGGGAUAGCAUAAAACACCGCCCAUCCACUCGACCAUGUGCACAUGCGCAUGUGCAUGUAUGCAGAUCCUAUUUUUAUGGUAGAUCCGAUAAUUAUGGUAGAUCGUGAGAGUUUUCAUUGCAUGUACACAAAUUUGGAUGACAUUUUCAUAUCCAUUGCAUGCGCGCAAAAUUGGAUGCCUCCAUUAAUAUAGAAUCGCUCCAACAGUCAUGCAACUAAACUCGUUAGAACCAUUUUCAAAAACAGCUAGUAAACUACGUGCAUGUGCAUAUGCCUGUUUAAGAUUUCACCAAUCGCAUGAGACUGGUAGUUUGGAACUGGCGGCAAAUGCACUUCUUUGCUUAUUUUAGAUGGUCCAUUAAUGAUAGAAUUGAGUUUUAAUUAACUAUGGUUUUCUAUACAGUUAAAGUUAACUUGAUUCAAUGAGAUAUACAUUAUUUGUACAAGAAAUAUGACUGGUUUUAAUGAUGUUUCUGAUAACCAUAGAUAAUUUGAGCUAACCUACUCAGAUAACUCGCUGAAAUAUCUUGUACGUACGCCUACUUUUUAAUUAAAAUAAAUAUGACUGCUUCUAACAAGUCCUUGAAAUAUCCUUGUGGUUAUCGGCCUUUGAUUUUGUAUUUCCAUCACUGGACUCUUCUGCACGGUUUCGUGUCGUAAAGCUGAAACCUCUACCGUACACACUACAGGAAAUCAAUUAAUUCCCGUCGGUCAGGAACCGACGGGAAUAAGCCUUAAACCGACGGGAAUAAGACUUACACGGUCCCGAAGCCACAUAAUGAAAUUAGGUCGCCCAUGCAUACCAUCGCGUCGCAAUUUGUCUAUGUCUCCCGCUGUUGGCCUACCGAGACACCUCAUGUUUUGUUCAUCAAACUCGCUAUCAAAUAUUAUUGUAUGACAUGAGAUAUUUGAUAACAUAAACUAAUUCACAUAUGAACAGUUUAAGAAAACAAGUCUUACACAAAGUAUUUCUCCACCUCAGGCAUAUUCGUGAACAUGUACAGUAAAGCAGACUUCCGUUCUUCCAUACUGAGGUGAUAUGCCUUGGGUGGACCAACGGCUUUGCCGUUUGUCUGAAAAAUCGAAAGAUCACUACACGGAGGCAUCUCUCGUUCAUCAUCAUGGUACCUUUUCUUUCGAGCAAAUACAUUAUGUUCUUCUGCAAAGUAACAACUUGUGAAGUAUGCUACCUCCUUUAGUUUAAAUUGUUCCGCAAUACAUCCUUCAACUCUUGCCUUAUUGCCCACCAUUGCUCUAAGCUUCUUUAAUGCUCUUUCUAUAUGAAACAUCCACCUAUACUGAACAGGACCACCGACCUUAGCCUCAUAUGGAAGAUGUAUAAAGAGAUGCUGCAUAGGAUUGAAGAAACCCGGUGGAAAUAUUUUUUCCAAUUUGCACAAAAGCACCGGUGCCUCUUUCUCCAGCUGUUCCAUCACAUCUCUUCUGAUUUCUUUAGCACACAACUGUCUGUAGAAAUAGCUAACUUCAGCUAACGUUUUCCACACAGCUUCGGAAAUGUACCCACGAAACAUUACAGGCAUGAGCCUCUCCAUAAUUAUGUGGAAGUCAUGGCUCUUCAGUCCAUUCAUCUUCAUUGUCUUCAAGUUCACAGAUCUUCUAAAACUAGCGGCAUAACCAUCGGGGAAUUUAAUAUCCUUCAUCCACUUCAUCACUUCUUUCCGUUGCUUAGAUUUCAGACAAUAGUCAGCUUUUGGUUUGCCUCCGUUUUCUCAAAGCACUUGGGUUGGACGAUCACAUAUCACUGCUAAGUCCAUGCGUGCCUUGUCAUUGUCUUUCGUUUUAUCAGGGAAAUCCAUGCAUGUAUUUAUGAGGGCUUGGCAAAAGUUACUCUCUUGAUGCAUGACAUCGAUGUUGUGCAUCAAAAUCAAUGACUUAGCAUAAGGAAGCUCCCACAAGCCACAUAUGUGAGUCCAGUUAUGCUCCUCACCAAAACCUUGAUACCUUUUCCCACUCUCGUCUAGGACAAGUUUCAUAUGCUCUUCUGUAAUUUCUAUCCCACUACGUCGCUUGGGCGGUCCCUUCGUGACAAUGGUGCCCUUCCUAAAUUCCUUUCUCUGCCUUCUGAAGGGGUAAUUGAAGGGUAGAAAACAUCUAUGGCAAUCAAAGUAACAUAUCUUGCCACCAGCACUAAGACGAAAACAAUCUGUAUCUUUAGCACAAUAAGGACACGUCAAUCUACCAUGCACGCUCCAUCCAGAGAAAAUACCAUACGCCAUAAAAUCAUGAACCGAGAACAGAUAUGCAACACGAAGAUUGAAUUUCUGCUUCUUGAAGCAGUCAUAGGCUUCCACACCUUGCCAUAGCUUCUUUAACUCUUCAAUCAGUGGUUGAAGCAUCACAUUGAGGCGUACGCCAGGAUGCUCAGGCCCAGGUAUAACAAGACAUAGGAACAUAAACUCAUAUUUCAUGCAAAGAGCAGGUGGAAGGUUGUACGGUAUGGCAAUGACAGGCCAACAUGAAUACGACACAGCGGUCAUAUUGAACGGCGUGAAACCAUCAGUUGCCAAGCCGAUACGAACGUUUCUUGCAUCACUGGCAAAAUCUGGAUCAAAUUUGUCAAGAGCCUUCCAUGCAUCACCAUCUGACGGGUGCACCAUUAACCCAUCUUGUCUGUCCGUACAAUCUUUAUGCCACCUCAUGUGCAUAGCGGUCUUCCUCGAGAGAAACAAAUGUUUCACUCUAGGAGUGAGAGGCAUGUACCGAAGCUGUUUAUGUGCAACCUUUGUCACCACCUUCUCCCCAUCUACAUUUACAAGCUCCACGUACCUCGACUUCCCACAUUUUAAGCAUUUCUGUUCUCUGCCAUGUUCCUUCCAAAAAAGCAUACAGUUGUCUUGGCAAACAUCAAUCUUCUCAUACUCCAUACCAAGACCUUCAAGCAAUUUCUUGGACUGGUACAUGUCUUUGGGCAUCUUGUGACCCAUAGGAAGAACCUCGCUAAUCAAAUCCACAAGCUCCUUGUAACAAUUAAUUGAGAAUGCAAACUUGGACUUGAUUGACAUCAGCCGGGUCACGAAUUCCAGCACGGUCACGUUAGUGUGCCCGUGAAGAGGCUCUUUUGACGCUUUGAGUAGGUCGAAGAACUUCUGAACCUCCGGUGUAGGUGAAUCAUGAUGAUCUGGUGCCAGUUCAGGCUGCAGAUCCUCAAGCAUCUGGUCCAUCCUAUCAACAUCAUCUUCACCGUCAUCAACUUCUACUUCUGCUGCUCGUUCAACAUCUUCACCAUGGAGAUACCAGACCUUAUAGCCUGGCACGAAACCAUGCGAACACAGGUGUAGUGUGACCUGCCUCUUGGUGUGGCUCGUCAUAUUUCUACAUUUAUUGCAUGGACACCUAAUGUUAUCUAUUUGUGACAAAGCAGCUGCAUGGUCCAGAAACAUCUGCGUCUUGGCAAACCAUUCACUUGUGUGACACCCACCCUUCUUGAAACCUUCAUACAUCCAAUCACGUCUAUCACCCAUAUUGCGGCUGUGUGUACGAGUAAGAAUUGCGUGUGUGAGACAUUCAUGUUUAUAAACGUCACACAUACAUCUAUAGAUAAAUAGUUAAACUAUAUAUAUACAUAACAUAACUAUAUAUAUACAUAACAUAAACAUCACACAUACAUCUAUAUAUAUAUAUAUAUAUAUAUAUAUACAUAACAUAACUAUAUAUAUACAUAACACAUAAACGUCACACAUACAUAUAUAUAUACAUAACAUAUCAUCCAAUUCAUUAACUAAUAACAUUAAACAACACAUUUUAUAUUUGCAACAUAAAAUUAAAAAUAUGAAGACUAAUAACACUGUUAAUUAACAAAUUUUAAAAAAACUUAAUCACAUAACAGUUAACUCCCGUCGGCCAUAAAAAACCGACGAAAAUAAAACAUUACAAUAUAUAUAAUAUACCUUGAAUGCUUUGCGCGGACGACGGUGGUGGACGACGUCGAUGUGGGGAAGUCGUGGCUACCGUGGACGGCGGCGGGUGACGGCGUUGGGCGGGCGACGGUGUUCGGCGGCGGUCGUCGGGCGCCCGGGCGGGGGCGGGGGCGGUGGCCGUGGGCGCGGGGCGGCGCGGCGUGGGACCGGCAGCCGUGGGCGGGGGCGGCGGCCGUGGGCUCGGUGCGGCGGCUGGGCGAGCGGCGUGACGGCCGCGGGGCGGCGGGCGAGCGGGGCGGCGGCGGGACGGCGGCGGGGCGGCGACGUCGGCCGGCGGCGUGCGGGCGGUGGUGGGCAGAACGGCGGCGCGGGCGCGGGCGUAGAGAGAGCGCGCGGUGAAAGAAACAGAAAGGAAGAAGAAAGGCACGACGGUGGUUAUUUCGAAUAACUCCCGUCGGCCUGGCGGCGCGGCCGACGGGAGUUAGUUAAUCGCCAUCGGCUGUACGCGGGCCGACGGGAGUUAGUUAAUCCCCGUCGGCUACGUUGACUGGCCGACGGGAAUUAAAUAAUUUUCGUCGGCCUUACUUUGGCCGACGGGGAUUAAUUAAUUCCCGUCGGCCCGCACGCAGGCCGACGGGAAUUAAUGUAGCCGACGGGAAUGCUUUGAAUUGCUGUAGUGACAUCCCUGACUUGUGAAAAUGUUCUACAGGCAUUGUCUCUAUUUUUAUGAGUUGUUGAUUUGAAGCUGGCUGUGGAAAUUAAACUGAGUUCAGACAAGGACAAUAAUAGUAGUAGAAGGAAGAAGGUAGCAUCAAUUCUAUGUUCCCUCAAGCCAAAACUUCAAAAAAAAUAGGUAGAGUUUCUUUUGAGGUUCCAGUUUUCGUCUAUGGCUUUAGUCCAGUGCAAGUAUACAUAGCAAUAUAGAUUUUGACAAUAAAUGGUUCAACGAUGAGCCACCCAUUCUCUAACGAGGGAUUUUUUUCAUGAGUCAUGGCUUUAGUCGCGCUUGCAGUGUUGUUGUGUACGGAGUAUGAGAUAAUAGAACUUAUGGUAACUCCUCCACAUAAUAGAGUUAGGCCUCCUUUGGAUUGAAAUUUCCGUUUCUUAUAUUUUCUGUGAAAAUGAACUGAUUUCUGCGAAAUUCAUAUAUGAUUCCUGUGAAAUUCCUGCAUUCUAAAGUAGAUCUUAGAUUCUUGUAUGAGUUGAUUGUAUUGUAUAUGAUAUAGGAAACAAAUUGUAGAAUACUGUAAUAAAUAAAUCGUACAAUAUCAUGUGCCAUGUAAUAAACCAUUUUUUUGUUUUUUCAAUUCAUAAAUAUAGAUGUGCCUGGACCAACGAUUUCAAGUAGACCAAUUAAUCGGUCUAGUCGGUCAGGAAGCCACGAUUAGGCUUAACGACUCGAUUAGGUCUCCUGGUCAUCCGAUCGUCUCACUAAUCGUUACCUAGACGUGAACUUGAACUUCACAGAGCUGGGUAUAAAAUAUAUCUCAAUAGUUAUUGUGCGUACUUUUGGAAUUCGGGUUGGUCAGCUACUACACAGAGCGACGAAUGCUUUCACAACAAAGUGAUUACUAGAUACUAAUAUUGAAACAAAGAAAAUUAACUUCGAGAGUACAAGCAACCUUUCAUUGUGACCAUACCAUCUAAUAUGUUUUCCACGAUGAAACUUUAUGAGUGGAACCGAUCUUAAGCAGUCAAUGAAAUCUUAGAACAUCCAUGGUGAACUCAUGAGGACAGAUGAAAAGAGAAGCCGAGCGGAUGAGACAUUAUGCUAGGGGAUUACAUGCAGAUGGGAACCAAAUGAAGAAAAGUCUGUUCCUAAUGACUCUCAUGCCCAAUUUCUCAUCAUCUUGUGUGCAGUGCAUGUCAAAUCCUCCCAUUGCCUAUGUUGUAUGUCAUACAUCUUUGCCUCAUGCUAUUUGGUUUACCUAUAUAUCCAAAACCGCUACUUUGAGGCACAAUGUGUGGACACACUAGCUUGAUCUCCAUAUAUAUAUACUUUGAUAUACAUAUGCGGUCCAUGGGGUCUCACACACACACACACACACACACACACACACACACACACACACACACACACACAUAUAUAUAUAUAUAUAUAUAUAUAUAUAUAUAUAUAUAUAUAUAUAUAUAGCCCUGGGCUUUCAAAUGUUAGAGGAAGUUCUAGCCGACCACUCCCGAUCUGGUUGGACCGCACCAGCGUGCUCACCCACUCCACCCCAGGCUGUCAGGUGCGUCCGUAGCCAUGCACUAGGUCAACCUCCCCAAGUGCGUCAGUCAAACUCCCGGUCCAACAACUAACCUCCCACGUGAGACGCAAGCCAUAAAAUGUGGUUCUAUUUUUUUUUGCGUAAAUAGAGUAAAUAUAUAGUCCAUGGAAAUAGCGUAAAUAGUUUACAGAGAUAGCAUAAAACACCGCCCAUCCACUCGACCACGUGCACAUGCGCAGGUGCAUGUAUGCAGAUCCUAUUUUUAUGCGCAGGUUCCACUUUUCGUCUAUGGCUUUAGUCCAGUGCAAGUAUACAUAGCAAUAUAGAUUUUGACAAUAAAUGGUUCAACGAUGAGCCACCCAUUCUCUAACGAGGGAUUUUUUUCAUGAGUUAUGACGUUAGUCGCGCUUGCAGUGUAGUUGUGUACGGAGUAUGAGAUAAUAGAACUUAUGGUAACUCCCCACAUAAUAGAGUUAGGCCUCCUUUGGAUUGAAAUUUCCCGUUUCCUAUGUUUUUUUGUGAAAAUGAACUGAUUUCUGCGAAAUUCAUAUAUGAUUCCUGUGAAAUUCCUGCAUUCUAAAGUAGAUCUUAGAUUCUUGUAUGAGUUGAUUGUAUUGUAUAUGAUAUAGGAAACAAAUUGUAGAAUACUGUAAUAAAUAAAUCGUACAAUAUCAUGUGCCAUGUAAUAAACCAUUUUUUUGUUUUUUCAAUUCAUAAAUAUAGAUGUGCCUGGACCAACGAUUUCAAGUCGUCCGAUUAACCAGUCUAGUCAGUCAGGAAGCCAUGAUUAGGCUUAACGACUCAAUUAGGUCUCCUGAUCGUCGGAUCGUCUGACUAAUCGUUACCUAGACGUGAUUAAUCACCUGACUUGGAAGACCCAGUGACCAGAUGAUGUUUAUUACUAAAUGGAUCUGCGGACUGCCGACUUUGGGGUGUUGUGGAUGAAGCCUUGGGUGCAACGCAGAGUUUUCGGGGACGAAAUCUGCCUCGGGGUGUUGCUGCUUCUAAUGUUGGCACCUUCUCUGAGCCUAGGACCUAUGUUAGUACGGCUAGGAAGCGACCAAGAAAUGCAUCUAUCCAAGAUUUACAACAAGAAGAUGACAGUGAUAAUGAAGAUGAUGACCCAAACCCACCUUAGGCUGAAGAUCCAACACCUGCUGAAUCAGCAAGAGCAAUGGAGGAGGAAUCUCAAUCAUUUGGAGGGACAACUGAUGAUGUAUUUCAUUUAGAUGAAGAUCUACUGCAUUAGGUCACUAGUAAGUUUGUAUUUAAUUUUGCUUAUUAAAUGGUUGUCUUGGUUGGUUCCUGUUCCAACAACCAUUAUCCAGUAUCUGACUAUCGGAGUAUCAAUUGUGCACUGUCCAUUUUCCAGUAUUAGUAAUUUAGUAUUCCAGUUUCAAUUCCAAAUUUCUAAUUGAAACUCUCUGGUUCUACUAGACUUGUGUAAGUUCUAAGUUGUGUUAUUCUUUGUUGUUGCCUGAUUGGUGAUUGGCUAAUUGCCUCUACUUAAUACUGAGUAUAGUAUAGAACUAUAUAUCUGUAGUUCAUUAGUUCUAGUCUAUAACUCUAUACAUAAUUAUAUAUUUAUAUAUAUACAUAUAUAAUAUAUGUCCUGAUCCUGGAGAUAUACAUGACGAUUAGAUGGACGAUCAAGGGCGAUUAGGUCCGACGAGUCAUCCAUGUCGUCUCCCUAAUCGCGAUUAAUCGCCUGGUCGCCUAGUGAGGACGACUAGAUGACCAGACGACAUGAAAUCAUUGGUCUAGACAAAAUGCGUCUGUGAGAAGUCGCAAACAUGUUAUGUUUGUACUUUGUUCCUGUUGUAACCGUCAUCAGAGACGCGUAUAGAUAAUACAUGACUGUGAUGACUUUUUUCAUAGAUGCGUUAAGUGUCUCUAAUAACAAUAGUGGCGUAGCUAGGAUUUUAUCAUGAGGUAUAUCAUAACAAAAAUUUCCAUAAAUAAUUUGGUAUACAAUUUUUCUCUCGAAUGCACAAAACAAUUGUACAUCAUUAUAUUAAGAAGAAAAAGAGUUUAGUCCAAAAUGGAUAGGAACAAAACAACAUACGAAACAACACAUGAACCAAAUUCGGUAUACAAUUUAGAAUAUAAAGAUAAGAAUAGCAUAUGAAAAUAUAGAUUUAACAUUUAACUUCAUAAAUACAUACAUUAGAAUACAAAUAGAAUAUAUAUCAGUUUUAUUUCUAGGCUUUAGUGGACUGGUGGUCCGGUGGACCUGCUUAGGGCCAUCCCGAACCACCCGCGGGCUACGCCACUAGAUAACAAGUUACCAUAGACAUGUGUUGCGGUUAAUCCAGACCUGUUAUGGCCUUAUGUGAGAUACGUCAUACCUACGUCUUUAAUCUCUACUAAUAUAAAAGCGAGAUUUUCUCCCUUCGUGUGUCUCCCUUACACAUCGGCUAGCUACCACCACGACUCCCUUCCACCGCAAAAAUUUAAAAAAUGAAGCGCGGGGCGGAUGUCCAAGUAGCAAGUAUUGGGAUCUAACCACUAGAGUUCAUUACCAUUUGUGAUAUAAAAAGAAUAAAUAUUGUAAAUAUUAUAUUAUACAAAGUAUAGAUAUUGUAAAUAUAUGUAUACUAAUAAUUUAGAAAUAAAAAAUAAUCAUGUCACACUAAGUCGGCUCUGUGGGCUAAGAAGGCGGCCCUGGCACCGCCCAGUUCUCAGAUCGAAACGACACAGGUCCACUUUGAAUCUUGGCGGGCUAGUUUACGCCACUAUUAAAUUGGUCGUAACUGGAACCGGCCCGCCAGACACGGCUCGUUUCGUCAUCUAUAGUACAGUACAUCCAUCCUCAUAGUUUCUGAUCUCGUGAGCCUGGAAAAAAAGCAAGAGAAAAAAACUUUAUCUCGUCUCACCCCCACACCAUAUACCUCGCCACACGUCUCUGCCUCUCUCCUCACCAUAUCGUCGUCCGUCGUCUCAAGGGCAAAAUCGUAGGUGUACCAUGAGGUGUAGCCCACUCCGUGUGAUCCAAACCGUGGAGCACGCAUUUAGAUCCGCGUGAGGCGAACUACUGCAUCCUGCCGCACGCGAUAGGGAUCAAGACAAUAAUUCAGAAAAUCCUUGUCGGCUAGGUACCGAAGGGAAUAAGUAUGUCACCGAAGGGAAUUAAUAAUUCUCGUCAGUAUUAGGCUAAUUCUUUCUGAUACAUGGCUAAUGAGGAGUGGUAUUAGUGAUUAAUUAAUUCCCGUCAACCACCAAAGAUAAUUAAUUAAUACUCGUCGGUCAUGUGUAGUCGACAUUUAACACUAGACUACGCAAACUCAUGUCGGUCCCGCCCUUGGAUGACAUGGAUUAUAAGUACGUAGAUAUUGCUUGUGGCCAACGGCAAUUAAGACAUUAUCCCCGUCGGCUUAGAUAGCUGACGGGAAUUACCCCACGAUCAAUAACUCUCGUUGGCUAUGGUCAAGCCGACGGGAGUUAUCCUAUGUUGUUGCAAACCAGUAGCCUAUUUUACUAAUUCCUCAUCUAACCACACAAACAACAAGCUUAUAUUGUAUAUCAAUUCCCAUACAUCACAAACACCAUUCACAAUUCACAUACAUCACAUCAUCAAAUACUUCACAUUACAAAUUCUUCAAACAAACACAUAGAAGCACAUAUUCAUUUCAAAUCACAACAACGAGACAAGUUAAAUAUUUUGUUCACCAAAGCACAUAAAAUUUAGUUUAACACACACCAUUCAUCAUCCAUAACCAAAGAGAAACCACAAGUCCAAAUAUAAAAAAAUAGCAUACAAUGAUUUAGGGACAACCACUUGGAUGGUUCGAGCUUUGGUCACUGCCACCACCAAGAGGAGGGUACACAAAGAGGGACUCAACAAAAGUCGAUCCAGCUGGUUCAGUUACACUCCCACCCAUUCCUAGUGUAGCCUAUGUAAGAAUGCAAAUAUCAACAAGUUAAGUAUACAAAUGUAUAAAAUCAUAAGAAUAUUUCGAGAGUUACAAAACGUAUCUGGUCUUUAGUUGCAGGUAUAUAUGUGGGGGUGAUGAUUGUUGCAUCCCCGGUCCCUAUUUAAUCGACAUUUGAUUAAGUUUAGAUACAAUUCAUGUUUUGCUAUAAUAACUAGAUGAAAUUAUACAUUAGACAAUGUUAUAAUAGAAUUUGCUAAAGAUUACCAUAUUUUACCAAUUUCUCAUACAAUUCACACAAACAACAAGAAUAUAAUGUAUAUCCAUCCACAUGCAUCACAAACACCAUUCACAACUCACUUACAUCACAUCAUCAAAUACUUCACAUUACAAAUUCCUAAAACAAACACAUAGAAACACAUAUUCAUUUUGUCGGUGUUUUGGACCAGGGGUCCUCAACCAACUAGUGAAAUGAUAUUGCGUGCCCUAGACCCAGAUGGUGAUUUGAGUUGACACAAGCGAUUUAUCCUGGUUUGGACUACGAGAGGCCAUACUUCCAGCAGAGGUGGGAUGAUGCUUAUAUUACUCGCACAAAAGUGCUCGCGGUAGGGGUUACAAGCAUAGCGGGAGAGGGGUGGAUCCUAAGUCCCAGCUGGUGAUUGAGGCAAGUCCUAAUACCAGGUAGGGGAGAAGAAUGAUCAAGUGUUCGCCUGCCUUGUGUCUCCCUGUUCCUUGUGGAGCCGUGAACUAUCCUAUUUAUAAGCUCGGGGAGAGUUGCCUUGUAGAUGGGAGCCAACUACAUGCUGUGAAGGGGUGUCUUCAUAACCUAUAGACAGUAUGGCCUUGUACUUUGCCGUUGACUUGGGCUUGCUUGUUUUCUGCUGAGAGCAGAGGCCGAGGCUGAGGGCUUGGUCACGUACCCGAGCCCCCUGGCGUGGGAUUUCCCAUACCGUAGUGGUUGACAUAGUGCCUAUCAUGGGAAAAAGCUUCUUAUGGGAUGCGUCAGCUCUACUAUUUCUGAUGAUGUUGGGAAGUCCUCUGCCAUAGGUAUCGAGGGAAGAACUGAGCUCGGGCAAGGCGGAGGUCCGUCUGAGGUUGCGACCGAGUCUUGUCUUGAGAUUUGAUGACGCGUGCCACACUCGAUGGAGUGGCCUUCCACGGGAUUCACAGGGGACAUGUAGCCGAGGCUGGGUUCGAGCGAGGCAAAGCCUACACCCAAGGUCGAGUUCUGUAUUGGGCGAGGCGAAACUUGCUCCCGAGGUCUUGGUCCGCAUCAUGUCAUAUUACGCGUCCCAUCAAGGGUUAUCAAGCGGCAUGCGCAUGCGUAAUGAUGUUAGUGAAUCUUUGAUAAGACCGCGGUCCUGUUGAACGAUUCGCCUGUAGCCCAACGUGAGGUAGGUGUCCGCAUUGAAUGCGGUUGUCUCCCAACGACCCUCGGGAAAGCUUUGUCUUUAUCGCCUAAGGCAGGCACGGACAAGGUGGACAUGGCUGCCCUAGGAUGAGGGAGCCUCAGCCGGGACGAAGAUUCUCCCGAGCUUACAUCUUGCCCGAGACAGGCCUCAGGCGAGGCAGAGUUUUGGGAAGACCCCUGAGGGGAACCUCGGGGGAGAUAGAGUUUUGGUUCCUUAUUCUAGGAGGACAUACCUUGAUAGAGUCCUUAGGAUUUUAGGUGCGUUUUAGGGGCCUAAUCUGGGUACCCCUAAUUAUCGUACCCGACAGUAGCCCCCGAGCCUUCCAAAGAAGUGUUUCGACACUUGUUUAGAGGUUCUUCUGUUCUUUGUGCGAGUACACUAUCUUUUCCUAAGGAGUGGAAGAUUUUUUACUUAUGGGUGCGCGCGAGCGCACCUGUCGGUUGUAGCCCCCGAGGCCCUGAAGGAGUGGUUGACUCCUUCAGGGUCUUUGUUUUUACCUCUAUAGGCAUGGUGGACUCUGUUUGUCACCUGCCACAGCCUAGGCGCGAAGGGAGCCCCCGAGCAUUCUAUGUCAUUUUGUAGGAGUUUCCAACAAAUUUGCCACAACAUGGGUUGCAAGGGUAGCCCCAAGCCUUUGCGUGGGUCUAGAGGACGAUCGGUGGGCGCCUUGACUUUUUUGGUUAUACGCCUUGAUAGUCGCCUAGAGGGGGGUGAAUAGGGCGAAACUGAAAUUUACAAAUAUAAACACAACUACAAGCCGGGUUAGCGUUAGAAAUAAAAUCGAGUCCGCGAGAGAGGGCGCAAAACAAAUCGCAAGCGAAUAAACAAGUGAGACACGCGGAUUUGUUUUACCGAGGUUCGGUUCUCGCAAACCUACUCCCCGUUGAGGAGGCCACAAAGGCCGGGUCUCUUUCAACCCUUCCCUCUCUCAAAC
rnacentral:lncRNA from 1 species